UUUUCCACCUUUUUAGAAUUAGGGAGUGAAAAGGGAAAGGAUAGACGAGAAGCAAAAAUAAGUAUAAAAAAUGGUGAAAAGAGCAAAAAGGUUAUGAAUAAUUUAGUUAAUAUAAUAGAAUAAAACAUAUACAUUAAUUUGAUAAUUUAUAAAAUAACUAAAAUAUCCUUGUGCUACAAAUGAAAUGUGAUUUUUCAAGGACGACUCCGCCGGC
rnacentral:lncRNA from 1 species